AGUCUUCAUGUUGAUGUAUGCGCUACAUCUAGUCUUGGGAGCACCCUUUGAUUUUACAUCUUGCGACUUUCCAAACAUACGGAGAUGGUUGGCUCUUAUUCUUCUGGAGAACUUUGGGGUUUUCUCUGAAAGGAGCUCCCAAUAAUCCGGCACAUGAAAGAAGCUGUGAAAUGGCUCCAUUCCAACAGCCAUCUGCUCAGGGGUCCAGUGGAAGAGUCUCUUUUCAUUCGAAUGAAUGAAGACCACAAGGAAAAGGCCCACAACAAUC